rnacentral:tRNA from 1 species
UGGGCGGUGGCCAAACGGUAAGGCACGGGCCUUUGGAGCCUGUAUGUGUAGGUUCGAAUCCUGCCCGCCCAA